rnacentral:rRNA from 1 species
UACGUAGGGCGCAAGCGUUAUCCGGAAUUAUUGGGCGUAAAGAGCUCGUAGGCGGUUUGUCGCGUCUGCUGUGAAAACCUAAGGCUCAACCUUGGGCUUGCAGUGGGUACGGGCAGACUAGAGUGCGGUAGGGGUGACUGGAAUUCCUGGUGUAGCGGUGGAAUGCGCAGAUAUCAGGGAGGAACACCCAAUAGCGAAAGGCAACUCGCUGGGACGGUACUGACGC